GCCGGCAGAAAGCCUUGACUGGCCCGCCAAGCGCCGAGGUCCACCCACUGUCAGCCAGGCCACCUGCCUGCGCUCCCUGCGCCGGGCCCCUGGCCUGUGCGCUCCUCCUUGGUGUCCGUACUCAAGUCGCUCCUGCAAACAGCCCGAUGCCUGCCCAUGAUCCAGCCCCUCCUGUGGCCCUGACCACCCACCAUCCCCGGGGCCGGUCAGCUGGCAGUGGUUCCCGUGCCGCCUGGGACUUUUAUCAAAUUGAGCGACCCAAGAGUUUCUCAACUUGCAGGCCGCUGUGCUCUGGACACAAGCCAUCGAAUUUUGGCCAACAUGCAACCGCGUUUUAUUUUUUCAGCCGCAGUUGCAGAUAUAGGCAGUUAGGUGAUGUCUGCCGGUAGAGUAUGGGACGGAGUGGGUCGUGGGGCCCGUGUGGAAGGAGGGACGGUUUGCUUUGAGUUGGAGAUAAGGGACAAGGCAAAGUCUGCAGCCGGUGCCAAAAGAAGAAGGCGGCUUUCUUGGGAUCUAUGAGACAUUUGCCUGGAGAGCCUGAGGGGACUGGGCAUAAUCCCGGAAGGUCCCAGCUGUCACCUUCAUGGCCUCCACCAGGAUCCCCGCCCCGGACACCUGCAUGAGCCACCCUGCAAGGGCUGAGGGACCGAGCCGCACCCCAGAGCUGCGGCUCGCGGCUUCCAAUUAUUGCAGGGGCGCAAUCGCUGGGGCAGCCUCGUGGUUCCAUUUCCUUUGCCGAUUUCAGGGUAGCUUUGAAGCAAACGGAGGAUGCGAUGGGGCUCCAAGGGGGUCCGUCUUUGGUCUCAACCCCUGGCAGUGACCUUGUUGGCAAGGGGGGAAUGCCUUUGUGCGCAGGGACAAAGUUAUCCAAGACCUGGAGGACAGCAGACGGCAGAAGCUGCUUGGCGGCGGGCUGGUGGGAUAACAUGAGGUUUCCAGUCUCGGAUGAGGAAACUUCACAGAGGGCAGGAGGCAGAGCGACAUGAUAUCAAUGAUGGCGAGUGGUGACCAGUCACGUCAAGGACCAUGAUAGUCUUCUGGUGCGGAACGACAGUCUCACAAAAUCAGGUGGCUGGUGGAGAAGAUCUGGGGGACUCUGGAGUGACCCCAUGGGCGGUGUUGAGCCUGAAGCCUGUCCCAGCUGCAAACAGAGUCUACCUGUCUUCCUACACUGGUUUCCCCCAAGGAGGAGAAUUAGAGAAUGCUGUUCAUUUAUAAUGUUUGCUUUGCUUUUGGAAACACCUCGGGGCAACUCAGGAUAGGUUUUCACAGUGGUGUUUGACUUGGCUUAGUUGCAAAGUUCCCCCUUUUUAGUCUAUUUAUUGCAAGUUAGCGCACAGCCCCUAUGCAGGAGUCCAGCACCAGGUCUGACAGAAGUCGAGGGCAGGCACAUGAAAGGAAAUGGUGGGAGCGCUGAGUCGUGCGUCCCCACACCUUCCUUCCUGGCUGAGAGCUAAGCCGAGGUCCGACCUGUUCCUGCAGCCCAGUGAUGCCUCGGGAUGGAGGGAUACCUCCAGCCACGGCCUCCCCUCCAACAGGGCCCAAAGCAUUAUUUUCGAAGAAGGAGAUGUAAUCCCUUUUCUUAAGCUCCAGUUUGGCUUACCUGUUUCCUAUUCUUUGUAAAAAUUCAACCAGCUUUCACUAGUAAAUUGCUGGUCCUCUUGAUGUUUGCUUUCAAGCUCCAGUAGAUGGGGGCGCCUGGGUGGCUCAGUGGGUUAAAGCCUCUGCCUUCAGCUCAUGAUCCCAGGGUCCUGGGAUGGAGCCCCACAUCAGGCUCUCUGCUCAGCAGGGAGCCUGUUUCCCUUCCUCUCUCUCUCUGCCUACUUGUGAUCUGUCUGCCAAAUCAAAAAUGAAAAAAAAAUUUUUUUUAAAUUUAAAAAAUGCUCCAGUAGAUGCCAUGUUACAUUUUAAUAAUAGCCCAACCUUCACCACUGUGCUAGCUGUUACAUUUACACCGCUUCAUUUAACCCACACAAAACUCUGUGUGAUGGGUGUUAUUAGAUCUCAUGUGAUAAUGAGAAAACAAAUACAGAGAAGUUAACUGAGUGGCCCAAGGUGGCCCAGCUCAUCAAGGGAGACCAAGGCUUGCGACUCAGCGCCGUGUUUUCUCAGUGAUGGGAGCGCUCUCUGCCUGGUGAUGACCUACGCCGGCCUGGACCUUGUUUCUCUGCCUUGAAGAAGAAGAAAACGAGUUUGGCUGUGGGCUGGAAGAUUUGCCCUAAGGCUAGCCCCUGUUUGCAUGACCUGUCCAGCUCGUAUUAGCAAAAUGAAACGUGAGGAGAUCUGCAGGCUUAUACUGACAUGUCUGCAGAGAGUUUCUGUCCAUAUGAUUCUUUUCGUAAACCUGAAAAGCGUGAUUGAGAUUCACUAGUUUGAGGGACAGAAACAGUUUAAGAUCCAAUCAGAACGUAAUUGGGACUUUUAGGAUAUGGCCACCGUCAUCUGACUCAGGGAGGACCAUGCACAAAGGUGUGGGUAUGGGGUAGAAUCUGGUACAUUUGGGGCUUAGACUGGCGAACUGAGUUGGAACCUAUGGACUUCAGUGCCCCACACUUCAUACUUGAAAAUUGCCUUCUGACUGCUUUCCUUCCAUAUUUCCUGCAGUGUGGCAGCCUUCCUGCCCCAGCCCCAAGCAUGGCCAUUGCAAUCCGUGGCUAUUGCUCGCUCUGUUAAUCUCUCUUAUCAGCAGCCUGGGCCUGAAUUACAGGACCCCUGCUUCUCUCUACUUCAGGGCUCACACAGCAGGCUCCCAGCCAACUCCUGUUCCUGGAUAAAGGUUGUUCUUCGGGGGAUGAGGAAGACUAAAGUGAGAAUAGUUUUGGACUUUGUUACUCAGCCAUGAGAGAACACUGGAUAGAAAAAAGAGUUCUAUGAAUUUAAAAAGCCCAGUGAUGGAUGAAGCCUAAGGACCCCUAACGGGGCCCAGCUAUUGUUUAAACAUGAAUCCCAUGUCUGAACCUUGUCUACCUCAGUCGAUGGGGGCCGGACCAGCAGGCUGGAAGGGGUUAAUGGUCCUUUUCUGCCUCGACUAUGCCAGACCACGUUUUGACUUUCUGUGAUGAGCUAAAAGCAGUAAGAAUAAACCACCACGAGUAACAGUAAGCUCUCACUACCACAGCAGCUGCCCAGUAUGUGUUCUGGUUUACAGAUACGAAUUCUAGUAGCCACAGAAGCUGAAGUCGGUGCUGUUACCCCAAGUUCGCAUUGAGGGGAAACAACAGAUCUGACUUGCACAAGAUUACAACGUUAGCAAGGGGUAGGGCCCAGAAAUGAAUGGGAUCCUUUCUUCUCCACACUGUCUCCCAUGUAACACUAUUGUUUUCCCUGCUGUGGUCUGAUGCAGUAUCACAUUCUCCUCCUGCACUAGCCAGGUCAAGAGUCAUUAUGCCAUCCUGGAAGUAUGCCGAGGGGUCAGUCCCGGAAUUAACAGGGUUCACUCUCAGCCAAGAAGAGAAUAUUCCGAGGAAAUGAUACCUUAGAUGUUUCUUCCCCCCUUAGUGGAUAGACAUUACUUGGGAGGAUUAUGGUGUGUUACAAUUAUAUUACUGUGACAUCUUGUAAAUUUCAUAGCCACUGUUUCAUACUUCAUUGGCAUUCCUGAUCUCAUCUUGGUGUUUACUCCAAAUAAUAUUGUGUGGAUGAAUGUGUAAACCUCAAAUGCAAGUUGUAACAUUAUUUGAUGAGACACUAAAUGAUGAUGUCUACAGGAAUGGAUUUUUUUCUUGAAUAUCAUGGCUUUAAGGUUAUCCAUGAUUCCUUUAAUACGUAGAGUUUCUUUGCAUUCAUAUUAUAAUAUGAAUUAUAAUAUGUAAGGAAAUAUAUAUAACAAUAUAACUCUUGUAAGAAACAAGAGUUGUUUACUCUUUGUUUAUAAAACAAAACACUGAAUGUUUCUCAACUAUUAAAAAAUCCAUUUAAUCUUGAAAACAUCUGACUUGAAUGAAGGAACAAGUUCUCAGUCAACACAAUGGAAAUUAAAAGUUUGGUCUGAUGCAGUAUCACAUUCUCCUCCUGCACUAGCCAGGUCAAGAGCCAUUAUGCCAUCCUGGUAGUAUGCCGAGGGGUCAGUCCCGGGGCACCUGGGCGGCUGGGGCACCUGGGCGGCUUUCGGGGCACCUGGGCGGCUCAGUCAUUACACGUCUGCCUUAGGCUCAGGUCAGGUCAUGAUCCCAGGGUCCUGGGUUCGAGCCCCAUAUUGGGCUCCCUGCUCACCAAGAAGCCUGCUUCUCCCUCUCUGACUCCCCUUGCUUGUAUUCCAUCUCUUGCUGUCUCUCUCUCUUUCUGUCAAAUAAAUAAAUAAAUUCUUAAAAAAUAAAGUUUGGAAGCUUGCAAAAAUUCUUUUUUUUUUUUAAAUUUUAUUUAUUUAUUUGACAGAGAUCACAAGUAGUCAGAGAGGCAGGCAGAGAGAGAGAGGAGAAAGCAGGCCCCCUGCAGAGCAGAGAGCCCAAUGCGGGGCUCGAUCCCAGGACCCCGGGAUCAUGAGCUGAGCUGAAGGCAGAGGCUUUAACCCACUGAGCCAUCCAGGCACCUGGAAGCUUGCAAAAAUUCUUUAUGUGUGGGCUUCAUCCCUAGACCUCACCCCUAGACCUAUCAUACUGUUAGUUCAGAUCUCUGAGAAGUGUGGUUUGGCUAGUUAGAACUUAGAAAAUUCUGCAGGCGAUUUUAAUAUGUAGCCAGUGUUGAGAACUACUGGGUCUAGACAAAAAUAGAUUUUUAAAUUUAGGGAGUUAGAUCUGAUUAAUAUCAAUGUAUAAAUGUAUCAUAAAGGAGAAAGACCUACGUUAUACAUCACAAUGAAGAGUUUUGAAAUAUAAUGCAAUUAAAAUGUGCGCAAUGAAUAUAAUACAUACAGUAAGUCAAUACAAUACAGAUACAAUUCAAUAUUCAAUAAAUAUUACUGAAUGAAUGAAUGUCCUACAAAGUUUCAUAUGGACAUUCAUAUUUUGAUGAACUUAAGAAAACUGUAAGAAGUAUCAGUGAGAAAAAAAACUUUUAAACUAUGAUACACCAUAUAUUAUAAGCUAUGCUCCAGAUUAAAAAAUGCUCAAAACAAAGGGAAAUCGGUUUUAUAAUGGAUGGACUACAGUACAUAUUAGUAAUGACCACUAGAUGUCGCUCUAAUCUGCUGCUUCAGGUUUCAAAGGCAACCUGAAAACUAUUUUUCUCCAAGUACUUAAAAUUGUAAUAGUUCGCCUCUUUUAAAGACAAAAGACUUAAAAAUCUCACAUUUUGGGGGGGUUGCUGCUCAUUUUUUCCCUUGUAUUAAGACCUACCCGAAGUAUCUCACAAGGUGUAAAAUUGUUUAAAAUGUGAUUUGAAAAGUUUGAAUGACUUGAUAGGAAAAGUGCAAUUGCUUCCCUUUUAUUCACAGCCCUAAAUUUCACAUUUCUCCUGUUUGUAGUGAGUUAUAGAGAAGACACGAUAAUAGCAAGGCUGAUGUUUGACUUAAAUCAAGAAAGUAAAAUCUGAAGGAAAGAAAAUGAUGUCUUCUAAUUUGAAGUCAGGAGAUCAUGGCACCCUAAACACAUGAUUACUGCUAGCCAUGAUGAGAAAGGCCAGGUGAGAAGGGGGAACCCGGGUCAAUCGGACUAGACCCCGAGCUUAGCCCAUGCCUGGUGUUAAUGCUGGGAAUUGACCCAAGGCCUCUGUGGUUGAAAGCCUGGAUGAUUUCCCCUAUUGGGUGAAGAUCACUCUCCCAGUAAAAAAAAUAAAGGUUUGGGGCCAAAAGGAAGUUCACAGAAGCUUCUGGAGAAGUGUAUUAGAGCAGUACUCAAACUGUUACAGAUCACCAAUGAGAUGAGAACAGAAACUGAGAUUAAGCAUUUCAAAACAGUUUCGUAGCAAAACAACAAAGUCAUUUUAUGUCUGUGAAAUGUAAGAAGAAAUUGAACUUGAAUUUUGUAUGUAUUUUUUAAUUUCAUUUUUCUAGUAAUUCAGUAUUUCUAGUCUUUUACAAAAGUACUAGUUCAUAACAAAUUGGAAAUUUUUAAAAAGUAGUCUUUCAUCCCAAGUAGCUUGGAAAGUACAGCUGUAGAGGUGGGAACCCUAGGACAAUGGCCCAAUUAAACCCAUUAAUAAUUUUCUAAUGGACAACAUAGGCCAAAAGGGGCUGAAGAACAGGGGCAUCUUGACUGUGAAACAUGGAAUGACUGGAAAAGUGAAAGGAAAUCCUAAGAACAGCACAUCUCAGGGAGUCCCAGCCUCUGAGCCCACAGUUUGCAGCUCACCCCAGGACCCUAGCAGCUCUGCAAGGCUCAGAGACCCCUUGCCAGCACCCCUAAACUGCUCCCCUUCCACAAUGCACACACACAACAAAUCGGCCUUGGGCUAAGUGAAAUUCAGGUGGCCACAGUGAAAAGAAAAUGUAAAAACCACUCGGAAUUGCUCAUAUCUUAAAUAUACAGUUUCAUAAGAGAAAUGCAGAGAGAAGGGCAUAUGUAAACUUCUUCCUGGCUUGACCCAGCCUAAAUCAGCUGGCUUUGAUGGAAAUGAGGCUUAAAGCAUGGUGGUUUUCCAUGUACGGAUAGCCGAGUUGGCAAUUACUUCUCUACAAAAAAAAAAAAAAAAAAAAAAAUUCCUUGUUGUACUAUCAUACUAUUGGUGUCAUUUUUUGGAAAGCGAAUUGGGAAUAACUAUCAAAAUGUCAAUUGUGAAUACUCUUUAACCCAGCAAUC